rnacentral:rRNA from 1 species
GACGAACGCUGGCGGCGUGCCUAACACAUGCAAGUCGAGCGAAGUGAGUACUACGGUACGAACUUAGCGGCGGACGGGUGAGUAACGCGUGGACAAUCUACCCUGUAGACUGGGAUAACACCUCGAAAGGGGUGCUAAUACCGGAUAAUGUCGAGAAGCGGCAUCGCUUUUCGAAGAAAGGAGAGAAUCCGCUAUAGGAGGAGUCCGCGUCCCAUUAGCUAGUUGGUGAGGGUAACGGCCCACCAAGGCGACGAUGGGUAGCCGGCCUGAGAGGGUGAACGGCCACACUGGAACUGAGACACGGUCCAGACUCCUACGGGAGGCAGCAGUGGGGAAUAUUGUGCAAUGGGGGAAACCCAGACACAGCAACGCCGCGUGAGCGAAGAAGGCCUUCGGGUUGUAAAGCUCAAUAGUAUGGGAAGAUAAUGACGGCACCAUACGAAAGCCCCGGCUAACUACGUGCCAGCAGCCGCCGUAACAC